rnacentral:rRNA from 1 species
UACGGAGGGUGCGAGCGUUGUCCGGAAUCACUGGGCGUAAAGGGCGCGUAGGUGGCGUCGCAAGUCAACGGUGAAAGCUCGACGCUCAACGUCGAGUCGGCCGUCGAGACUGCGAGGCUUGAGCACUGUAGAGGCAGAUGGAAUUCCGGGUGUAGCGGUGGAAUGCGUAGAGAUCCGGAAGAACACCGGUGGCGAAGGCGGUUCUCUGGGCCUUACCUGACGCUGAGGAGCGAAAGCGUGGGGAGCGAACAGG